rnacentral:rRNA from 1 species
ACGGAAGGCAGCAGUGGGGAAUAUUGCACAAUGGGGGAAACCCUGAUGCAGCGACGCCGCGUGAAGGAAGAAGUAUCUCGGUAUGUAAACUUCUAUCAGCAGGGAAGAAAAUGACGGUACCUGACUAAGAAGCCCCGGCUAACUACGUGCCAGCAGCCGCGGUAAUACGUAGGGGGCAAGCGUUAUCCGGAUUUACUGGGUGUAAAGGGAGCGUAGACGGAAUUGCAAGUCUGAUGUGAAAGGCAUGGGCUCAACCUGUGGACUGCAUUGGAAACUGUGAUUCUUGAGUGCCGGAGGGGUAAGCGGAAUUCCUGGUGUAGCGGUGAAAUGCGCAGAUAUCAGGAGGAACACCGGUGGCGAAGGCGGCUUACUGGACGGCAACUGACGUUGAGGCUCGAAGGCGUGGGGAGCAAACAGGAUUAGAUACCCUGGUA